GAUGAACGCUGGCGGCGUGCUUAACACAUGCAAGUCGAACGGAAAGGCCCAAGCUUGCUUGGGUACUCGAGUGGCGAACGGGUGAGUAACACGUGGGUGAUCUGCCCUGCACUUCGGGAUAAGCCUGGGAAACUGGGUCUAAUACCGGAUAGGACCACAUUUUGGAUGGUGUGGUGGAAAGUUUUUCGGUGUGGGAUGAGCUCGCGGCCUAUCAGCUUGUUGGUGGGGUAAUGGCCUACCAAGGCGUCGACGGGUAGCCGGCCUGAGAGGGUGUACGGCCACAUUGGGACUGAGAGACGGCCCAGACUCCGACGGGAGGCAGCAGUGGGGAAGAUUGCACAAUGGGCGCAAGCCUGAUGCAGCGACGCCGCGUGGGGGAUGACGGCCUUCGGGUUGUAAACUCCUUUCGCUAGGGACGAAGCGUUAUGUGACGGUACCUGGAGAAGAAGCACCGGCUAACUACGUG
rnacentral:rRNA from 1 species